GCCUUUCAUUUCUUAGCCAU
rnacentral:snRNA from 1 species